rnacentral:rRNA from 1 species
AAAUGAAUAGACGGGGGCCCGCACAAGCAGCGGAGCAUGUUGUUUAAUUCGACGCAACGCGAAGAACCUUACCAGGUCUUGACAUCCAUGGAACCCGGCGGAAAUGCCGGGGUGCCCUUCGGGGAACUAUGAGACAGGUGGUGCAUGGUUGUCGUCAGCUCGUGUCGUGAGAUGUUGGGUUAAGUCCCGCAACGAGCGCAACCCUUGUGCUUAGUUACUAACGCGUAAAGGCGAGGACUCUAGGCAGACCGCCGAGGACAACUCGGAGGAAGGUGGGGACGACGUCAAAUCAUCAUGCCCCUUAUGACCUGGGCUACAAACGUGCUACAAUGGCCGUAACAAAGAGUUGCAACACUGUAAAGUGAAGCGGAUCUCAAAAAAGCGGUCUCAGUUCGGAUCGUGGGCUGCAACCCGCCCACGUGAAGUCGGAGUUGCUAGUAAUCGCGAAUCAGCAUGUCGCGGUGAAUGCGUUCCCGGGCCUUGUACACACCGCCCGU